rnacentral:lncRNA from 1 species
GUCUGUUGAAGAGGCUCAGCUGGGGAAUGAAAGAUAAGGACAAAGAACAUUUGGACUCAGCGAAAGCUUAUUGAGGCUGUGCUGCACUUUUUUGAAGAACAAAAUACUGUGAAUGAAUCCAUAGAAGAGGAAGUAUGAACAAGGAUGAAGGAAAAUAUUCCUAGCAUAAUGAAUGAAGGAUCAAAGGGAAAUAUGGCAUAGAUUCGUCUGACCCCUCUGACAGCUUCCAUUCAGCAGAAAUGAGAGAAGAAAGCUAGACACAGCUGUGAAGCCAGAAGUCUGAAGAGCAGCAUCCAGGCAAUGAUGUCGGACAGCUCUCGGCAGCUGCUCACGACCCCAUCCGGCGGGGUAGCAGCGUUUGUAUUAGGGCCUCCAGCGUGGAAGCACCAUCAGCAAUUCUGCUCUCAGAACGCUGAAGAGUUUCUGAGUUUGGAAGGAACAAAGCAAAUGACUUGUGAGAGCACAACACCCAAAUCUUUGAUGGUUUUUCCCUUGCCAGUUGCCAUACAAGGAAUUAUACAGCUCAAUAAAAUGAAGCACUCAGCGCUGUGUGGUUCAUACAAGUGGUUGGAAGGAUUCUGAGUACUGGCUUGAAUUCUUUGGAUCUAUUUCAAGUGCAGCAGAUGACUAAUCACCCCCUUCUGCUAGUUGAUAAUGGGUUGUCUAUAAAACCUUGUUUUUGUAUGGUUACCUUAUUGUGAAGUUCAUGUCUUUUGAGGAACAUUCACAACUGAAAAGCAAGGAAAAUAUCCACUCCAGGGUGUAGUAAAGCUGACAAGGGGAAAAAGAAAAAACACUAAAUGACUUGGCUCUGUUGUUUUUUAGUUUCCUGAGAGAAAGUGGCCUUGACCUCCAUGCAUUACUGCUUUUGAGAUUGUAACAGCAGAUGGUACAAAGUGACAGUUGGUGAAGACAACUGAAGGUGUUUAUAACAUUGCAGGGUUGUGCAGGUGACUUUAAAAACAAAGGAUUUGGAAGUUAUAAAAAGUGGAGACUGGCAGGAGAGAUGGUAAUAAAGCCACUAGCUACUGGAGGCA